AUUUGUUCAACUUUUAUGACGCGCAUCGUUAUUAACAACGCAGCAUUACUUGUGUCUUUUUUUUUUAUGACACCGCCAGUGAGGAGUCAAGUUGCAGCCUAUCGGGUGCUAUGAGAAUGUUGGUAUCCUGUGCACAAUAAUAAUAAUAAUAACAAUAAUAAUAAUGACAAUGCAUCAGAUUUAUACGGCGCCGUUCUGGACACCGGACACUCAAAGCGCUCACAACGGAUACAUUAUUCAUGCAUUCGCACAUUCAUACUCUGCCGGCGGUAAGGAACAGCUCGCCAGUAUGACGGAAUGUACCGGUGCAAAGCAUAACUACAAUAACACUGCAGUACAUUUAAACGACCGGAUCAGAAAUGAGGAAGUGCCUUUCAGUGGCACAUUUUACAUGCAAAUCUCGUGUUGGAUUUAAGCGGCGGGUGCGCGCUCGCGCGCGUCCGUGCGUGCUUCCUGCACCAUAAUGAACGUUACGUCAUGCGAUCCCAUUCACUUUUUCCAUGAGGCUCCUCUCUGGGUAUUUGAAAUGCGAGCCAAGUAGUGCAGAGCGCUCGCUUGUGGAUCAAUGCGAAUGAAAUUUGAAUAUUUGUGCACUUGGGCAAAUGUGUAUGCACUUGAUGUGUGAGGGCCCACCUUGCAGACAAGCUCCUCGCCGCUGUGCAGGUGGAAGGAGGGUGUCGCUUGUCGUGCGGUAGGAAUGAAGGAAAGAAAGGACGGGGCCGGCUGAUUUUUCCCGGGCCUAUCCCUUGAUUUAGCAGGGCAUCCUCUCUCCCGUGACGCCGCGGUGCCUCUUCCCUGGGCUGGCUAGGAGGGGAGGGGAGAUGGUGGGAUAUCCUGCCUGGUUCCUUCAGUGCAGAGUAAAGCUGCACAGUGCACACUGACUAGAACGUCAC